UAUCAAUGAUGGCGGAGUAUUGAUGACAAUAAGCCAGCUAUUCUUACAAAUAUGACUAUUUCUUGAAUAAACUGGGUAAAAAAAACGUUAUUGGACGUUUUUAAUCGUCAUAGUAUUAGUUCUACAGUAGUUGUGACCGGUUUCGCAAAAGCAAGGGUUUAGAAUGUCGGAAAUACGUGUUUUGCAUCAACGGAUAAGCUCUGUCAUCAUGGACAUACUAGCCUCAGCUGCCGUGACAGAGAUUUGCAAAUUAGUAGAAGAUUGUUGUGGAGCGUUACGUGUUGAAGUCUCUCAAAGCAAGGAGCAAAUCAAAAUGCUAGAGAAGCAACUCAGCCUGGCUGAGUCGAGGUACAGGUCGGUGAGUUGCCAAGAAGGGAAGACGCCUGUCAGCAGCCGCUCACCGAGAAACAACAGUCCUUCCGGCAAUACCCCCGCCGACGAGACUCAAGAUGCCGAAGAUUUUCAGCAGGUCAUUGUCUCUGAAGAGUUGUUUCCCCCUGAGCAGCAACACUGUAAGCAGGAGCGGAGCACCCAGUCUGGGGCAAGAUGACUGGAACCCUAGUCAUCUUAAAGAGGAACCGGAGGAAUUCAGUAUCAUCCAGGUGAAGGAUGACUCUGUGUUCAUUCCUGCCUUGGUGAAAAGUGAGUAUGAUCAGUACCCAACUCAGACAUCACAAACCCAAAGUGAAGAAUACAAAGACAGAAUGGCCUCUACCGAACAGAUCAAAACAGAACCUAAGGAAGAGGAUUCCUCAGAGCAGACCCGUGACUCUCAGCCCCAGUGCAAAUUGAAGAAGAUGUUGACAGAAAAAGGACAAAGAUCGAAGGGUAGAAAAUCCAUGGAUCUGAAGUCACCAGUGCAAAGGAGUCACACAGAAGAGAAACCAUUUUGCUGUAGUGAACGUUUCACUCAGAUGGGAAAACUGGAUUCUCAUAGGAAGGCCCACACAAGAGAGAAACCACAUCGCUGUGUUGAAUGUGGCAAAUGUUUUACUCAAGUUGGUUAUCUGAACUAUCACAGAAAGACUCACACAGGGGAGAAACCUCAUCGCUGUCAAGAUUGUGGCAAAUGUUUUUUUCGAGUUGGUGAUCUGACACUUCAUAUGAGGAUUCACACAGGGGAAAAACCACUAUGCUGCCAGG